UGCAAGUCGAGGGGCAUCACAGGUAGCAAUACUGGGUGGCGACCGGCAAACGGGUGCGGAACACGUACACAACCUUCCUUUAAGCGGGGGAUAGCCCAGAGAAAUUUGGAUUAAUACCCCAUAGUAUGAUGAAAAGGCAUCUUUUUAUUAUUAAAGAUUUAUCACUUGAAGAUGGGUGUGCGUCUGAUUAGGUAGUUGGCGGGGUAACGGCCCACCAAGCCAUCGAUCAGUAACUGGUGUGAGAGCGCGACCAGUCACACGGGCACUGAGACACGGGCCCGACUCCUACGGGAGGCAGCAGUAAGGAAUAUUGGUCAAUGGACGCAAGUCUGAACCAGCCAUGCCGCGUGGAGGAUGAAGGUCCUCUGGAUUGUAAACUUCUUUUAUUUGGGAAGAAAUGCAUCUUUUCUAAGGUGUUUGACGGUACCAGAUGAAUAAGCACCGGCUAACUCUGUGCCAGCAGCCGCGGUAAUACAGAGGUCUCAAGCGUUGUUCGGAUUCAUUGGGCGUAAAGGGUGCGUAGGUGGCGGGGCAAGUCUGGUGUGAAAUCUCGGGGCUCAACCCCGAAACUGCACUGGAUACUGCCUUGCUCGAGUACUGGAGAGGAGAUUGGAAUUUACGGUGUAGCAGUGAAAUGCGUAGAUAUCGUAAGGAAGACCAGUGGCGAAGGCGAAUCUCUGGACAGUUACUGACACUGAGGCACGAAGGCCAGGGGAGCAAACGGGAUUAGAUACCCCGGUAGUCCUGGCAGUAAACGGUGCGCGUUUGGUGUGGGAGGAUUCGACCCCUUCUGUGCCGGAGCUAACGCGUUAAACGCGCCGCCUGGGGAGUACGGUCGCAAGAUUAAAACUCAAAGAAAUUGACGGGGGCCCGCACAAGCGGUGGAGUAUGUGGCUUAAUUCGAUGCAACGCGAAGAACCUUACC
rnacentral:rRNA from 1 species